GAUGAAGAACGUAGCGAAAUGCGAUAAGUAAUGUGAAUUGCAGAAUUCAGUGAAUCAUCGAAUCUUUGAACGCACAUUGCGCCCUCUGGUAUUCCGGGGGGCAUGCCUGUUCGAGCGUCAUUAUAACCACUCAAGCUCUCGCUUGGUAUUGGGGUUCGCGGUUCCGCGGCCCCUAAAAUCAGUGGUGGUGCCUGUCGGCUCUACGCGUAGUAAUACUCCUCGCGAUUGAGUCCGGUAGGUCUACUUGCCAGCAACCCCCAAUUUUUACAGGUUGACCUCGGAUCAGGUAGGGAUACCCGCUGAACUUAAGCAUAUCAAUAAGCGGAGGA
rnacentral:misc_RNA from 1 species